rnacentral:pre_miRNA from 1 species
CGACUCUCAAUCGGGCAACAUUGGUCUAUUGAACAACAAGCUGCCUGAUUAAGAGUUACGU